rnacentral:rRNA from 1 species
CCUACUCCCUCGUGUCGUCGUUCGUCGAGUACUCGAGAGGUAGUUUGACUCCGUGGCUACGAGGACGAACGCUGGCGGCGUGCUUAACACAUGCAAGUCGAGCGGAAAGGCCCUUUCGGGGGGUACUCGAGCGGCGAACGGGUGAGUAACACGUGAGUAAUCUGCCCUUGGCUUUGGGAUAACCACCGGAAACGGUGGCUAAUACCGGAUAUGACGGGCUCCGGCAUCGGGGUUCGUGGAAAGUUUUUUCGGCCAGGGAUGUGCUCGCGGCCUAUCAGCUUGUUGGUGGGGUAAUGGCCUACCAAGGCUUCGACGGUAGCCGGCCUGAGAGGGUGACCGGCCACACUGGGACUGAGACACGGCCCAGACUCCUACGGGAGGCAGCAGUGGGGAAUAUUGGACAAUGGGCGGAAGCCUGAUCCAGCAACGCCGCGUGAGGGAUGACGGCCUUCGGGUUGUAAACCUCUUUCAGUACCGACGAAGCGCCGAUGAUGGUGGUGACGGUAGGUACAGAAGAAGCACCGGCCAACUACGUG